rnacentral:lncRNA from 1 species
UGCCCGGCGGCGCCGGAAGGGAUUAGUCGCCCUUCCGCCGCGGGGUCACGUGACGUCCCGUCGGCCCCGCAAGAUGGCGGCGCCCAUGUUGCUGCCCGAGUCCCCCCUGGGGAAGCUGAGAAGCUACAGAAAAAGAUGAAUCAGUGUCUGAGGAGGAAGAGGAGGAACUGGAAGAAGAGGAAGAAGAAGAAGAGGAGAAAAAGCUCGAGGCAGAAAGGUGAAACAGCUAGAAACUAGCAUAUGCUUAGUAGAUAGGUUUUUAGCCAAUUACAU